rnacentral:rRNA from 1 species
AACCGCGGUUACACGAGAGACCCUAGUCGAUAAAUACGGCGUAAAGAGUGGUCAGGGAUAAAAUAAAUAAAUAAAGUUAAACACCCUCAAAGCCGUUAUACGCAAUUUCGAGGGCAUGAAGUCCCACUACGAAAGUAACUUUACUACCACCCCGACUCCACGAAAGCUAAAAAA